ACCGUGAAAGUAAAAAAAUUUCUGUUUUAAUUAUGAAACAAAUUUAUGGAAGGUAAUUAAGAAUUUAGGAGGUAAAAUUUUAAGUUUUUAAUAACUUCUUAGUAAAGUUUUGGAAAUUCUAAAGUAAAACUAGGAUUAGAUACCCUAUUAUUAUUGAGAAAAAGAGAAUUAGGUAGUAGAAGAUGGCUUGAAACUUAAAGAAUUUGGCGGUGUUUUAAUCUAAUUAGAGGAACUUGUGAUUUUAUUCGAAUUUACCCGUUAAAUCUUACUUAAGCUUUAGUUUGUAUAUCGUUGUAAAAAUAAAACUUUAAAGUGGAUAUUAAAAAAGGAAGAAAACUAAAAUUACAGGUCAAGGUUCAGCAAUGUUUAAGGAUAUCAUGAGUUACAAUAUAAAAAAUAUAAAACGGAACAGAGCUUGAA
rnacentral:rRNA from 1 species